GCAGAACGAUGAAUUAGUCUCAUCCUUUUAUUACUCUGAAGGGAUGACGAUGGUGAAAUCUGAAGAAUGGUGAGGCUAUUUACGCUUGGCCUGCUUGAAAUCUUCAUUAUUAACCUCUUAUCUUGAAAAUGUCGAGUGUACAGGUUAAUACUCGUGGACCUGCAUGGGCCACCAUUUUUAUUUUUAUUGUUUUUUCUUCAAGUCUUCAUAUUAGAGAAAAU
rnacentral:lncRNA from 1 species